rnacentral:lncRNA from 1 species
ACUGCAGGCUGGGGCUCCGCUCCCCGGCGGGAGCCCGCGCGUGGUUCCCAGCGAAGUCCCCGCGCGGCUGGGCCCAGCGUGAGUAUUCUCCGCCCGCUGUCCUCCCCCUGGAGGCGGCAGCGCCCGUUUAUUUGAGGCUUCUAAUGUGAGGAAAAACACGGAAUGACAAGUGUGGGAAAGAGCAAGCACUAAAUUACUGUCAGAAAAAUAAACGGAGUAGCACAGUGCUGCUCGGUGAUUUACGGGGGCAAUUAGUCACCACCCCACGGCGCUGCUGAGGACAGCACGGCAGCAGACAAGUCAGGCCCAUGAGGAAGAAGAGGCUUUGCACUGCUCUCCAGACAACUUUUCAAACAACAAGAGAGGAUAUUUGAGCACAUUAGGUUUUGUGUCUUCAUUCUGGCCGUGUGAAGAUGUGCCUGCUUCGCCUUCCAUCAUGACUGAAGUUUCCUGAGGCCUCCCCAGCUAUGCUCCCUAUACAGCCUGCAGAACGGUCGGCUGCCUCCAAUCCUGAGGUCAUCACUCAUCAAGAGGGGAUAAUCCCAGGGACAGCAGGAUCUGCUUCGUUACUUGGAUUUAGGAGCCAGAAACCCAUCAGGCAACUAAACAGUAACAAUGACCCGCCAUUAAACACACUGAGAGAAGAGCAUGAUGAAGAGUUUGUACAAGAAGAAGCCAGGAGCACUUGCUGACAAUGCUUACAGAGACGCAGGCUUCUAUGAGCUCUGCCUGUUGAACUGCAGUAAAAAUAGAUCUCCUUCCCCAGAGAGGCUUGGAUGUGGGCACAAUAUCAGUUCAGACGAUGGUCAAUGCAUGUACUUAAUAGAGUGAAAAGACUUUGGACUGUGAAGUCAGAUUACCUGGGUCUGAAUUGUUAUUCUUCUACUUCUUUGUAGUAUGCUUUCACCACAUUAAAAAUUGUCUGAGCCUC